UAAGUCAGCCACGAAUAGGCUAUCCCAACUAACGGCGGGAAAGACUCCACGGAGGGUGUAAGACCCGUGUGGGCGCGUGUUAAAGCUGUGUGGGCUCGGCCUCCAUUCCCUGAGAGUCGCGUUGCUUGAGCAUGCAGCGCUAAGCAGGUCGUAAACUCGAUCUAAGGCUAAAUAUUUCCACAGAACCGAUAGCGAACAAGUACCGUGAGGGAAAGUUGAAAAGCACUCUGGAGAGAGAGUCAAAAGACCGUGAAACCGCUCAGAGUAUAAGCCCAUGGCAGCUUGGAAGGCAUAUCGCUAGCGGGGCAUCGGUCUCCCUUCGCGGGGAGCUGGUGUUACCUUGCUUCUGUUGUGGCUCGUCAUGGUAGGGGGGUCAGGUCCACAUCCCGCCGUCGUGUGGAGAGUUCUUGGGUGUGUUGUGGUUUCUCGGUUGGCUUCGGCUUUCCGGGGGGCUCUUCGUACUUGGUUCUCUUUUAGACACGGACGUUCAGACUCAGUUGUAAGACGCGAUAACCAGCCCACCACGGCACGUUGUGAGGUCACCCACAGGCUCGACUUUCGAUCGUGAGCCUUGACGCCGAGCAAGCACAAUGCGUGUCGCAGAUGUUCCUAACCAGGCAAUGGUGCCAGGAUCGUGGAACGACACGCGCUCAAGAGUCAGGUUCGGGCGGAGACAGAGUUCUGGUAUGAUCCUCUUGCGACGAGCCGGCUUCUGGCCGACAUCCGAUGCUCAGGUCUCCCGCAUGUGCCGCGGGAGAUCGCUUUGACGGUCUGGA
rnacentral:rRNA from 1 species